UGAGUAACCUGCCCUUCACUCUGGGAUAACUCCGGGAAACCGGGGCUAAUACUGGAUAUGACUCGAACAGGCAUCUGUUUCGGGUGGAAAGAUUUAUUGGUGGAGGGAUGGACUCGCGGCCUAUCAGCUUGUUGGUGAGGUAACGGCUCACCAAGGCUUCGACGGGUAGCCGGCCUGAGAGGGCGACCGGCCACACUGGGACUGAGAUACGGCCCAGACUCCGUACGGGAGGCA
rnacentral:rRNA from 1 species